rnacentral:rRNA from 1 species
ACAGGGGGAUAACACUGAGAAAUUGGUACUAAUACCCCAUAACAUCAGGACCGGCAUCGGUUCUGGUUGAAAACUCCGGUGGUUAUGGAUGGGCAUGCGUUGUAUUAGCUGGUUGGUGAGGUAACGGCUCACCAAGGCAACGAUACAUAGGGGGACUGAGAGGUUAACCCCCCACAUUGGUACUGAGACACGGACCAAACUCCUACGGGAGGCAGCAGUGAGGAAUAUUGGUCAAUGGACGCAAGUCUGAACCAGCCAUGCCGCGUGCAGGAAGACGGCUCUAUGAGUUGUAAACUGCUUUUGUACGAGGGUAAACGCUCUUACGCGUAAGAGCCUGAAAGUAUCGUACGAAUAAGGAUCGGCUAACUCCGUGCCAGCAGCCGCGGUAAUACGGAGGAUCCAAGCGUUAUCCGGAUUUAUUGGGUUUAAAGGGUGCGUAGGCGGUUUGAUAAGUUAGAGGUGAAAUACCGGUGCUUAACACCGGAACUGCCUCUAAUACUGUUGAACUAGAGAGUAGUUGCGGUAGGCGGAAUGUAUGGUGUAGCGGUGAAAUGCUUAGAGAUCAUACAGAACACCGAUUGCGAAGGCAGCUUACCAAACUAUAUCUGACGUUGAGGCACGAAAGCGUGGGGAGCAAACAGGAUUAGAUACCCUGGUAGUCCACGCAGUAAACGA